rnacentral:rRNA from 1 species
ACAUAGGGUGCAAGCGUUGUCCGGAAUUAUUGGGCGUAAAGAGCUCGUAGGUGGUUUGAUACGUCGGGUGUGAAAUUCAGGGGCUCAACCCCUGACCUGCAUUCGAUACGGUCAAGCUAGAGUUUGGUAGGGGAGACUGGAAUUCCUGGUGUAGCGGUGGAAUGCGCAGAUAUCAGGAGGAACACCGAUGGCGAAGGCAGGUCUCUGGGCCAAUACUGACACUGAGGAGCGAAAGCGUGGGGAGCGAACAGGAUUAGAUACCCUGGUAGUCCACGCCGUAAACGAUGGGCGCUAGUUGUGCGAACCUUCCACGGUUUGUGCGACGCAGCUAACGCAUUAAGCGCCCCGCCUGGGGAGUACGAUCGCAAGAUUA